rnacentral:rRNA from 1 species
CCUUUAUUUAAAUCUUAUAAUACCAUCUAAUAAAAACAUAUAUAAAUCCCUUACUUCUUAAUAACUAAAAUAAAAGUACUAAAAGGAAUCUAUAAUAAAUUUAAGUAGUGAUAGCCCACAUACCUCAUGCAUUAUGGUUUUACAAGCUCAUUAAUUAAAAAUAUCCUCCCGAAUCCUACGCGAGCUGUCUACGUAUAGUUAAGAACCCACCACUAGUUGUGGCACCAACUUUGGAAAAUACUUUGACAGGGGCUACAUACCAACCGCGCUAGAAAAUUGCUGGUUUUCAGUAAAAUUUAUAAAUUAAAGCAUGUGGAACUCUACAAUGUAAGAUCACAGAGGAUAAGCCCUGUAAUCAAAAGCUAACUUCAGUGUGUUCAACUUUUAGGCCUAACAACAGCCAUCUUAACUACGUCAUUGUAAUUAUUUCUUAAUACAUCUUUAGCACUGCUAAAAUAACCUGAAAUUUAAGAAAAACCCUUAAUCUUUUUAUAUUCUGUAAAAAUAAGUAUUCUAAAUAUAGUGUGCUUAAACAACCUAUCUAGUUUUAUAUCUCAAAUGCUUAUAAAGGAACUCGGCAAAUUUUAUUUCGACUGUUUAACAAAAACAUUGCUUCCUGAGUUCUUAUAGGAAGUAAUUCCUGCCCGGUGAAUUAUUUAACGGCCGCGGUAUCCUAACCGUGCAAAGGUAGCAUAAUCACUUGCCCAUUAAUUGUGGGCUAGAAUGAAAGGAUUAACGAAAUAAAGACUGUCUCUAUAAGACAUCUAAAAAUUAAUCUCUAACUGAAGAGUGUUAGAUUAAUUCGAAGGACAAGAAGACCCUAUAGAGCUUUAUUUUUAUAAAGUUCUAAAACUUUAUUUAAAUUCGGUUGGGGCGACCUGGGAAAUAACUAAUCAUCCCCCUUUUAUAGAUAACUUAAUCAUAUCUUUGACCCUUAAACAAGAUCAAGAAAUCAAGCUACCUUAGGGAUAACAGGCUAAUCCUACUAAAGAGUCCUUAUUAAUAGUGGGGUUUGGCACCUCGAUGUUGGCUUAGGGAACCUAUGUGGCGCAAAAGUUAUAUACAGGUGGUUUGUUCAACCAAUAAAACCCUACAUGAGCUGAGUUCAGACCGGCGUAAGCCAGGUUAGUUUCUAUCCUCGAUCACAUAUCUAUUUAUAGUACGAAAGGACCUAAAUAAGAGUAAUUAUUACACUCAAAGAACUCUUAUAACUUUAAAUUAAAUUCAUUAUACCAUACAACA